CAAUCACCACCUUCCGGAGACACCUGAAACCCCACCUCUUUAAGGAAUACCUAGGAUAGGAUAAAGUAAUCCCUCUCACCCCCCCCCCUUAAAAGAUUUAGAUGCACUAUUGUAAAGUGGCUGCUCCACUGGAUGUCAUAAGGUGAAUGCACCAAUUUGUAAGUCGCUCUGGAUAAGAGCGUCUGCUAAAUGACUUAAAUGUAAAUGUAAUUCAAUUAUCUGACAAGCUCUGGUGAACAUUCCUGCAGUCAACAUGCCAAUUGCACACCUUCAAAACUUGAGACAUCUGUGGCAUUGUGUUGUGUGACAAAUCUGCACAUUUUAGAGUGGCCUUUUAUUGUCCCCAGCACAAGGUGCACCUGUGUAAUGAUCAUGCUGUUUAAUCAGCUUCUUGAUAUGCCACACCUGUCAGGUGGGUGGAUUAUCUUGGCAAAGGGGAAAUGCUCACUAACAGGGAUGUAACAAAUCUGUUCACAACAUUUGAGAGAGUUAUGUUUUCUGUGUGUAUUGAACAUUUUGCAGAUCUUUUAUUUCAGCUCAUGAAACAUGGGACCAAUACUUGAUAUGUUGCGUUUAUAUUUUUUUCAGUGUAAAACAUUGUCUAAUUCUUCUCUAUUGGAAGUGAUUGAUUUCCAUACUAAUUUCCACUGUCUCUACAACUCAAUAGUUAAAAUACUUGUGGUAACAUUUGUUGUAGUUUCAUUACUUGUUCUGUUAGCUUUGGCCUACAAGUUUCAAAUCUACCUGUCAUACUGUUGAAUUGGGAAGGUGGAAGAAGAUGAGAAUGAGAGGAAGCCUCCAAACGCCUUAAACCAGAGUCAGGAAAUGCACCCACAUCCACAACUGCUCUACUAUGCCCAAGGGAACCCAGAACUAGAAGCAGAGAUGAGAGCUCAGGCUGAGCACUCCUACCUGGAGACGGUGCUGUGGAGGUGGCAGAGGAUGCUGGGGGGCCAGAGGGACGAGAUGAGGAGGCUGAAGACUGACAUGAAGAGGGAGACAGAGAGCUUGCAGACUCUGCUCGCUGGCCUCUUGAAGAUCUGGGGGUGGAGGCAGAAAGAAAUGAAAAUUAAAUGCAGUUGUCUGAAAAUGUAACCCCAGUUUGAGGUGGCGCCGAACCGCUCUGCCAAGUUCCUGAAGGAGAACAACAAGCUGAGCUGCCUGCUUCGCAUGGUGGAGUCCUUGGUGGCCGACCUGCAGCCCCUGCUCACCUACCACCAGGUCCUUGUGGAGGACACCAUGAAGGACAACUCCAUAUAACACAAGAUGUAAAAAGAACUCUGAAGGACUGAUAAAUAAAAGUUUCUGAUUGUGGA